rnacentral:lncRNA from 1 species
GCAGAACUGGGGAAACACAAGCAGGGAAUGUCCUCUGACAUCCUCUUAAGUUGUAUGGGUGUGGUGGCUCCUAGAAACCCAGGGCAGUCUCUGCAGGUUGUGCAACACUUCCAAGCAACCCUGGAGAGUAUUAAACCUUACAGUUGCUGGAAGAUGGGUGAAGAGGCCCUUCUCAAUAUCCUUUACAGUUUUCUCUUCCUCACCCCUGCAGGAAGUUUCCUUAGCAUUCUUCAUUGCAAAAGCAAACCGUACUUAUUACAGAAACAUCAGAAAAUAUCAGAAAGCAAAAAGAAUAGGCCUUGGGUUUCAUUCCCAGCACACCUGUAACUCCAGUUCCAGAGGAUCUGACACCAUCUCCUGGCCUCUGUGGGCACCAGACAUGCAGGUGGUGCCCAGGCAUUCAAGCUAACAAAACAGCC